rnacentral:rRNA from 1 species
UACGUAGGGUGCAAGCGUUAAUCGGAAUUACUGGGCGUAAAGGGCGCGUAGGCGGCCUGUUAAGUCGAACGUGAAAUCCCUGGGCUCAACCCAGGAACUGCGUCCGAUACUGGUUGGCUUGAAUCCGGGAGAGGGAUGUGGAAUUCCAGGUGUAGCGGUGAAAAUGCGUAGAGAUCCGGAGGAACGCCAGAGACGAAGGUGGCUACCUGGCUCUGACCUGACACUGAGGCGCGAAAGCGUGGGGAGCGAACCGG